AAUUUGGCACAGGAGUAUAAAAUGAUGGAUCCCAUCUCUGCCCCUCAGCCUCUUUACAAAGUGCAGAGAACCUGUGCAAAAUGAGGCCAUCCAACUGGAGAUUUACUGCAAGACACAGAUGAAGUAGAGGAUGUACCCCUGCACCAGGCAGUCCAGCAGAAAAUAAUGAGUGGUCAGUUGGCUCUGCAGACUGCAGAUAAGGGAAGAAGCAAAGAAAAAUGUUGCUGCCCUAUAUAUCGGAAAGAUCUCCCUUCACAGAAUCAGCUGUCACAGAACUUGGAUCAGCCCUCUUCAUAAAGGCCUCAGCUAAGAGAACAAAACCACGCAGCUCACUCAAGACCAUGCUGGGAAUUGUACUUCUCAACUGUCACCACUGUGUGCCUUUGACACUCUUUGGACUACAAAGAGUGUGGGGAACAAGAAAAGGCCAUCAGAUGCAAGUCUUCCAGAGGUGGAUUCCAGAGGUUGAAGAGGUUAAAAUAAAUGAAGAAUGCAUUUAACUUCAAGAACUUAAGUAAUUCCACUGGAACCAAUAAGACUAUUCAGAACAAUUAUUUCCCUACUACCACAGAUUUGGUCAUCUAGAUGGCAGGUCCAUUAUCCUGCAAAUAAAGGAUUUCUUCUCAGUGGGAAAGUGGAGAAAAGAACAGAGGUGAAGUGAAGAAUAUAAACAAGCAUUUAUGAGUUUUCUUGGCCUAGUGUCCUCCAAAGAGCAGAAAGGCUAAGAGCAGGGACUGGUUCCAAAGCAGUUAUGUUGACAGUGAAGUUGCAGUAUCUUAUUAUAUUUCUGGUAGAAUAUGACAGCCCAAGAGCCAUGACGUUACACAGUACUUCUAGGAUCCUAAGCAUGGCUGCAGCAUUAUAGAGGAUUGUCCUGGUAUAUCUUCAUCAACUACAUCAAGGCUUCUUUUGCCAGAAGAAAUAAAGAAUAUUCUGAAACUACAGAGAGUUCAUAGGCAAUGGGGCAAUACCACGGAAGGAUUAAGUGAACAAAACUUGCUCUCAGAAGCUGACACUGAAUAAAUCCUGAUGAACCCCACGCACACCUUCCAGGAAUGAGAUGACCUGCACCCAUUCCAAACUUGCUGACUGGCUUGACCAAGCCAAUCACUGAAGAAGGCUAUCAGGUUUGCCAAGAAAGAUUUCCCCUGCAUAAAAUCAUGGUGACUGCUCCCAUUUGACUUGUUGUUCUUCAUAUGUCUGGAAACAAUUCCAGCAUCAUUUGUUCUAUCACUUUCCCGGUGAUCAAGUAUAUGAAAGAGACAGAUGAAGUGGAGCCUAGACAUAUUCUGCUGAAGCCUGUGAAAAAGAGCCUGUCUUGGCCUGCACCUCUAGUAUGGCAAAACAUCAUCCAGACAUCAAAGGGAAGAAGAGAGGAACAAAUACAGGAAGGUAAUUUUCAUGGAAAUCCCCUGAACUGUUUUCAUUCCUCUAGUUUCUGUGAUGAACAUUCAGAAGGUUGCCUCCAAUUUAUCAGUUUGAUGAGGGGAAAGAGAUCACAUUCUCCAAAGCUCUGCUCAUUCCAGACCCCCACAAGAAAUGUCAGUAACCAUGGAAGGAAUGUGCAGAUACUCACAGUGAGGUCACUUCCCAUGGUUGCCACCCACUGGAUCAGGCUGCUCAGUGUCCCAUCCAAACUGGCCUUGGACACCUCCAUGGAAGGGACAUCCUCAGCUUCUCUGGGAAGCCUGUACCUCACCACUCUUAAAAUAAAGAAUUUCUUCCAAAUGUCUAAUCUCAAUCUACACUCUUUUAGUUUUAAACCAUUACCCCUUGUCCUAUCACUGCAUUCUCUGUUAAGGAGUGUCUCUCCAGAUUUCCUAUAGGCCACUUUAGGUACUGAAAGACCACAGUGUGGUCUCCAUGGAGCCUUCUUAAAGCUGAACAAGCCCAACUGUCUCAGCCAGUUUUCACAGAAGAGCUCCCACACUGAAGGAUCUCUGUUCACUACCAUGACAGAACCAUAUACUGACCACAGCAUCUUAUAUGGCCACAGUAGAAACUGUCAAAAGCACAGAUUCUUUUUUGAAGAAUGUCAUCUAGGCUGGGUCAAAUUAAUCAAAAUGUAGGUCCUCCUCUUUCUUGGAUACACAAUGGGCAGUGUGUACAGUACAUGAAAUAAAAAAACAGUUCACAUUGUGGUUUUUUGUUUUUUGUUUUUUUUAUCAAUAAGUUCAUGCUUGGUAUAAUGUUGAUAGGUAUCCUUGCCUUAUUUUGACAUGCUUCAAGUGGUGUUGCGAAACAUGAGCACAAAAGUUGACCACAAACAUUGUCACGGUCUUACCUCUAGAACAAUAAUUCCCACAAAAUGUAAUGCCCAUUGAGCAGCAAUACUCAAAUAAAAAGGAAUUUUAUAAACAGAGCUUAGAAAGUCCAUUAACUGGGAUGCAGCAAGUGGGCUUCAGUGAAGACUGGUGCUCUGCAGUUCUUUCAUUGCUGAGGGCAGCAUUACUGGAAACAUCUUCAGUUUAUAUCCCUGUAAACAGAUUUCUGUGCUAAGGAUAAACGAACUGGGAGCUACACUCUCCCCAUGGCUGUUUGGCCAGUAUGAGUCCAUUUCAUCUUGUGUGGGGCAUUUGUGAAAUAGAGCUGCCGAAGCAUUUCCAUGAAAGUCAGUGAUUGCCUAAUCCCUUGCAAGUGUACUCUUCAGAAGUUAGACCAAUUUCGGCUUCUCUUUUAUUUGCGAACAUUGCAGCAAAUCUUUCCUUCUUGUUUUUGGUCUCCAGCCCACUCUAAUUCCAGUGACUCAUACUGUGGUGAAAAUAGGUUAUGUGACAGACAGAAAUGUUGGUUUUACUGUUUCAGAGAUAAAAGAAGUACAGUUUGAGCCCUCUGUGUGUGACCCAAGGUAGCAAGUGCUUAGGUAUUUGCCGCAUGAAGACUAAAUGCAUACAGCUACAAUGUGAGUAGUCUGGCAUGGGAGAAGUGAGGAUGCAUUCUGCAUUGACUUUUCUCCCCAGGAGGGACAGAGAAAUAAGGGAAAGGGAAGAAGAGAAGGGGAUGGCAUCUCUUUAGGUUUCUCUCAACUCCACUUUCCUUAAUGUACAAUACAUACUGAAAUACAUGCUGAAAUGAUUUGGAGAAUGUGCAUCUGUUAUUAAUGUGACAUUUCAGGGCACUGAUAAUUUGACUCUGGAAGUGAUUUUAGUUAGAAGGCCUCAUUAUGUAUCUUUCCCUCACUUGCGGAAGUGGAGUUGUGGUGAAGGAGAUUCUGUGCAAGAAAUGCCAACUACAAGACAGGAGGUCUCAAUAAAUUUACAAGAAAAGUCAAGCUAUGAUUAAAGAUGUGUCAUCGAGCUCUCUCAU
ensembl:lncRNA